rnacentral:rRNA from 1 species
AGAGUUUGAUCCUGGCUCAGGAUGAACGCUGGCGGCGUGCCUAAUACAUGCAAGUCGAGCGAACGGACGAGAAGCUUGCUUCUCUGAUGUUAGCGGCGGACGGGUGAGUAACACGUGGAUAACCUACCUAUAAGACUGGGAUAACUUCGGGAAACCGGAGCUAAUACCGGAUAAUAUUUUGAACCGCAUGGUUCAAAAGUGAAAGACGGUCUUGCUGUCACUUAUAGAUGGAUCCGCGCUGCAUUAGCUAGUUGGUAAGGUAACGGCUUACCAAGGCAACGAUGCAUAGCCGACCUGAGAGGGUGAUCGGCCACACUGGAACUGAGACACGGUCCAGACUCCUACGGGAGGCAGCAGUAGGGAAUCUUCCGCAAUGGGCGAAAGCCUGACGGAGCAACGCCGCGUGAGUGAUGAAGGUCUUCG